GUGUUGUUUUCCCACUUGGCGAAGGAUGAUUUUGAUGGUAACGCUGAUUGUGCGCUUCCACAUGACAUUUAAAUGCAACUCUGCAAUUUUUUUUUAUAGAAGGAAUAUUAGUAAUCUGAGCAUCCACAGUGUUUGGACUUUUUGUUCCGGCAGCUGAGCAUUCGGAGACGCGGGUGACAGUAUACUCCUCACAGCCAUGUGUUAUAUUGUAGUUAUUGAUUUUGAUCUGGAAAGCACAUAACUUCCCAAUGAGGUUUGCGACCGGAGCUGGUAUUUUGUCCAUAUGUGAUGGCUGGAAUGAGUAAAGCGUGAAGUUAGAAAUAUAUGGAUAUGUGGUAGUUGCGUAUCAUACUGAUGCCCAAUACAAUGUGUAGACUGUUUACCUCGCCCAUUUCAGUGAUGAUCUUCUGAAUUGGUACUCCAAUAAGUUGUUCUGCCUCUUUGUUGAAAAGGGUAACCGUUGUUGUUCCAGUGUCAUCCUUGAUGCGAGCCACCACCCUAUAGCUGAGAGUAGUAAUUGAGCUUGUUAUUUAUUUAUAUUGAUUGAAAGAUUCUAACAUUUACAACCAUAAAAAGUGUAAAGAUUCGCCGCCGAUCUGUAGGUGUAAAUUUUAUUACAGGGACAAUUUGUUGUUUGAUAAUAUACCGCUGCGAGACUGUAAAGUUGGUGUCGUUGCAAGCAUUGCAGUAAUACUUCCCUUCAGUCGGGUGAACAGCUCUUGCACAUAUUGAGCAGCAGUUAUAUAGCCAGCCAUUUCCAUAUAGUAUUUCUGUUAUUGUUGCUGUGCAGAGGCAGCGUACUUGCUGCAAAUUAUGAACAAACAGUUAUUGAAGCAAGACAUCUUUAAUGUGGAUUUGCUGGACAUCCUUUUCGUCCGUGGCCACAAAGUGGACGGUUGCAGGAGGCAGCAGUCGAGCUCCGUUACUUCCACUCGAAUCAGAGAGGCUUUUCUUCAAGUCAUUAAGCGGUUCGUACUCAAUAUUGAAAAAUGUCUUUGUCGCAUCAGUGCUCGACAGAGAGGCCUUAUCUUAUCGGUGUAAGAGGCAAAUGUUAGUGGGUUAUUGAAUUUGGACUGUUUCAAUCGACACGUGUGGAUGUAGCUGUGAUUCAUUCUUAGUCCCGAUACUCUGUAAUAUUAUUGUUCCCGUGAAAUACCUAAAGAUGUGUGCCGUAAUAUUGUGCUUUAUACCUAAAAUUUUUUUGCCAGGAGUCCAGUAAUGACUACAAAGAGUGGUGAUUGUCCUCUGUUGUCGAGACCCGCCUGAAACUGAUACGCUCUUUCUUCCCACAAUGUCACUAUUAUCUUCUCAUUCCUAAAAAACAAACAUAUUCGAGCCGAAGUAAUUUGUUUUAGACUAAGGCAGCGUGCAUAUGAGAGCAUGUCAAGUAAGUGUUUAUUAGAUGUCGAAAGUAAACCUCGAUGGAAGUAUAUAUAUGUCCCUGAAAAAGUCUUAAAGGGCAAGCUAUGGUUGGACAAACAGCCUUACUGGUUGGGGUUGCAGACAGUUGCCAAUAAGCUAUAGUUGAAAGCGGCCACAAGUCUGUUAAACAUGUGCCGUGAACUAUUAGUUAGACAUCAUAUUUUGCCCAGCUGGUAUGUAUGGCCUGUUUCUUAGUAUUGAACACU